AUCAGAAGGCAGGGGAGGGUAUGAGAAUGGUGUCUAGGCCCUGAAGCCCAGCAGCAUGUCAGAGCAAGGAGACAAAUGCACCACCCCCCGCUGGAAACAUGAGGCCAUGCAAAAUGGCAUCUGGUAUCCUCCACAUUAUGCAUUUGUUUGUGAUGGGGCUAAAGGCGUCAGCCUGCUUCAGUUCGGCUGGCGGCUAGCCGAAGUUGGCUAGGCGAACCAAACGAGUGUGCUCACAUACUCCCUUAAAAGACCUUCGCUGGAAAAACAAGAAAAAGCAGCACUAGUACCGUUUGUCCGUUUUGAGAUUAUGUUUCUUAGAAUUCAUCUGAAAUAGCUUGAGAAAUCUGUCAUAAAUGUUCACGUUCUUGCCAAGGAGAUCUUAGUUGUGCAAUUUUAUAUCUAACUAAGAUGUUUGGUGCAGACUGCAUGAAAAUGAGUCAUCUCUCAUUGAAUGACAACAAAGACUUUAUUGAAAAAUCCCUACAGUUGACCAGUUACGGACGAAGGGGCGUAGACUUAGGCUGGCCUCUGGAAAAAGGUUGUGUGCCCGAACAGCCAACAAAACCCUUACUGAAGUCCAAAAUAAAUAAACCUCCACAAAA